GGGGCAGGAGGUUACAGCGGAUGAAAUCGAGAACAAAGGCAGGGAUUCUUUGUCACCAGCUAGGUAGUUGUCACACCGUUCUUCACAAAGAUAAAGCAGUUACAUGCAACCUUGCUCAGCGUCAAGUGGAAUUUGUAGCAUUAACAGUUUGGGCUUCUUAGAAAACCUGGUGGAUUUGUUGUUCAGCAAUGUCGUGGGAACCCCCCAGCACAUCAGGAGAAGAACGCUGAGGCAGUAUGUGGCCAGGCACCAGUCCCACUUCAGAUCGAGGACAGGAGGGAUGAUUUGUCAUGGAGUGCCCUGACUAAAAGACAGGUUGAUACAGAUUUUCUGAACUGGAAGAGACACUCGGCAUUCAAAUUAUACAAGACACAUCUAUUACUUUUCAUAAUAUUUUGUUAUAAUUUAAUUGAAUGGUGGGGGCUGUGUAUUCUUCAAACAUGUUAGGGAGCUGUUUAACUGACUUGCCUAGUUAAAUAAAGGUUAAAUAAAAUA